CCCUUAGAUGUUCUGGGCUGCACGCGCGCUACACUGAUGCAUGCAACGAGUUUUCGACCUUGCCUGAAAAGGUUGGGUAAUCUGUUUAACAUGUGUCGUGAUGGGGAUAGACCAUUGCAAUUAUUGAUCUUCAACGAGGAAUUCCUAGUAAGCGCGGGUCAUCAGCUCGUGCUGAUUAUGUCCCUGCCCUUUGUACACACCGCCCGUCGCUCCUACCGGUUGAGUGGUCCGGUGAGGCUUUGGGAUCUGAGCGGAAAGAGCGUUUCGCUGUUUCUGCUCGGAAAACUCAGUCGAACCUUAUCAUUUAGAGGAAGGAGAAGUCGUAACA
rnacentral:rRNA from 1 species